AAGCAUAUCAAUAAGCGGAGGAAAAGAAACCAACAGGGAUUGCCCUAGUAACGGCGAGUGAAGCGGCAACAGCUCAAAUUUGAAAUCUGGCUCUUUUAGGGUCCGAGUUGUAAUUUGCAGAGGGUGCUUUGGUGUUGGCAGCGGUCCAAGUUCUUUGGAACAGGACGUCACAGAGGGUGAGAAUCCCGUACGUGGUCGCUAGCCCUCGCCGUGUAAAGCCCCUUCGACGAGUCGAGUUGUUUGGGAAUGCAGCUCUAAAUGGGAGGUAAAUUUCUUCUAAAGCUAAAUACUGGCCAGAGACCGAUAGCGCACAAGUAGAGUGAUCGAAAGAUGAAAAGCACUUUGGAAAGAGAGUCAAAUAGCACGUGAAAUUGUUGAAAGGGAAGCGCUUGCAGCCAGACUUGCCUGUAGUUGCUUAUCCGGACUUUUGUCCGGUGCACUCUUCUGCGGGCAGGCCAGCAUCAGUUUAGGCGGUUGGAUAAAGGUCUCUGUCAUGUACCUCUCUUCGGGGAGGCCUUAUAGGGGAGACGACAUGCAACCAGCCUGGACUGAGGUCCGCGCAUCUGCUAGGAUGCUGGCGUAAUGGCUGUAAGCGGCCCGUCUUGAAACACGGACCAAGGAGUCUAACAUCUAUGCGAGUGUUUGGGUGUCAAGCCCAGACGCGUAAUGAAAGUGAACGGAGGUGGGAACCCUUACGGGUGCACCAUCGACCGAUCCUGAUGUCUUCGGAUGGAUUUGAGUAAGAGCAUGGCUGUUGGGACCCGAAAGAUGGUGAACUAUGCUUGAAUAGGGUGAAGCCAGAGGAAACUCUGGUGGAGGCUCGCAGCGGUUCUGACGUGCAAAUCGAUCGUCAAAUUUGGGCAUAGGGGCGAAAGACUAAUCG
rnacentral:rRNA from 1 species